rnacentral:rRNA from 3 species
UACCUUUUGUAUAAUGGGUCAGCGACUUAUAUUCUGUAGCAAGGUUAACCGUAUAGGGGAGCCGUAGGGAAACCGAGUCUUAACCGGGCGUUAAGUUGCAGGGUAUAGACCCGAAACCCGGUGAUCUAGCCAUGGGCAGGUUGAAGGUUGGGUAACACUAACUGGAGGACCGAACCGACUAAUGUUGAAAAAUUAGCGGAUGACCUGUGGCUGGGGGUGAAAGGCCAAUCAAACCGGGAGAUAGCUGGUUCUCCCCGAAAGCUAUUUAGGUAGCGCCUCGUGAAUUCAUCUCCGGGGGUAGAGCACUGUUUCGGCUAGGGGGCCAUCCCGGCUUACCAACCCGAUGCAAACUGCGAAUACCGGAGAAUGUUAUCACGGGAGACACACGGCGGGUGCUAACGUCCGUCGUGAAGAGGGAAACAACCCAGACCGCCAGCUAAGGUCCCAAAGUCAUGGUUAAGUGGGAAACGAUGUGGGAAGGCCCAGACAGCCAGGAUGUUGGCUUAGAAGCAGCCAUCAUUUAAAGAAAGCGUAAUAGCUCACUGGUCGAGUCGGCCUGCGCGGAAGAUGUAACGGGGCUAAACCAU